rnacentral:rRNA from 1 species
GUGGGGAAUAUUGGACAAUGGGGGCAACCCUGAUCCAGCCAUGCCGCGUGAGUGAAGAAGGCCUUAGGGUUGUAAAUCUCUUUCGGCGGGGAAGAUAAUGACGGUACCCGCAGAAGAAGCCCCGGCUAACUCCGUGCCAGCAGCCGCGGUAAUACGGAGGGGGCUAGCGUUGUUCGGAAUUACUGGGCGUAAAGGGCACGUAGGCUGGCUGUUAAGUCGGGGGUGAAAUCCUGAGGCUCAACCUCAGAAUUGCCUCCGAUACUGGCGGUCUCGAGUGCGGGAGAGGUGAGUGGAAUUCCCAGUGUAGAGGUGAAAUUCGUAGAUAUCGGAAGGAACACCAGUGGCGAAGGCGACUUCCUGGCCCAGUACUGACGCUGAGGUGCGAAAGCGUGGGGAGCAAACAGGAUUAGAAACCCUAGUAGUCC